AUGGCCGGCGCCGACCUCAACCGGAGCUUCAUUAAGGACGUGAAGCGCAUCAUCAUCAAGGUGGGCACUGCAGUUAUCACCAGAAAUGAUGGAAGACUGGCUUUGGGCAGGAUUGGAGCCCUGUGCGAGCAGGUGAAAGAUCUUAAUGCUCAAGGAUAUGAGGUGAUUAUGGUCACCUCAGGCGCUGUUGGUGUGGGGCGACAGCGGCUCAGGUACCGGAAGCUUGUCAAUAGCAGCUUUGCUGAUCUGCAAAAGCCGCAGAUGGAGCUGGAUGGGAAGGCAUGCGCUGCUGUUGGUCAGAGUGGUCUGAUGGCACUCUAUGACAUGUUGUUUACCCAACUUGAUGUGUCAUCAUCACAACUUCUCGUGACAGAUAGUGACUUCGACAAUUCAAAUUUCCGGGAGCGACUUCGCGAAACUGUCGAGUCAUUAUUAGAGCUUAGAGUUAUUCCAAUAUUUAAUGAAAAUGAUGCCAUCAGUACGAGGAAGGCUCCAUACGAGGAUUCAUCUGGUAUAUUCUGGGAUAAUGACAGUUUGGCAGGUCUACUGGCAUUGGAACUGAAAGCUGAUCUCCUUGUUCUGCUUAGUGAUGUGGAUGGCCUCUACAGCGGUCCACCAAGUGAACCUUCAUCAAAGUUAAUACAUACUUAUAUCAAGGAAAAACAUUAUCAUGAAAUUACUUUUGGAGACAAGUCCCGUGUUGGUAGAGGUGGCAUGACAGCUAAAGUCCAAGCUGCUGUGUGGGCUUCAACGGGUGGUGUACCUGUUGUUAUUACAAGUGGAUGUGCAUCUCAGAGCCUUGUUAAAGUUCUCCGUGGGGAAAAAAUUGGUACUCUUUUUCAUAAAAAUGCAAGUUUGUGGGAACCAUCCAAGGACACCAGUGUCCGUGAAAUGGCUGUUGCUGCACGGGAUUGUUCAAGGCGUCUACAGAAUUUGACAUCAGAGGAGCGCAAGAAAAUAUUAGUAGAUGUUGCGGAUGCUUUAGAGGCAAAUGAGGAUUUAAUUAGAUCCGAGAAUGAAGCAGAUUUAGCAGCAGCACAUGAGGCUGGGUAUGAGAGUGCUUUGGUUUCUAGAUUGACUCUGAAACCAGGAAAGAUAGCAAGCCUUGCCAAAUCUGUUCGCACUCUUGCGAAUAUGGAAGACCCUAUUAACGAGAUACUGAAAAGGACAGAGGUUGCUGAUGGUUUAGUUCUUGAGAAAACAUCUUGCCCUUUGGGUGUUCUAUUGAUUAUAUUUGAGUCCCGACCUGAUGCCUUAGUCCAGAUUGCGUCUUUAGCCAUUCGAAGUGGUAAUGGUCUUCUCCUAAAAGGUGGAAAAGAAGCAAUGAGAUCAAACGCAAUAUUGCAUAAGGUUAUAACCAAUGCUAUUCCUAACAAUGUUGGCGAAAAAUUGAUUGGCCUUAUUACAACUAGAGAUGAAAUUGCGGAUUUGCUAAAGCAUGAUGAUGUCAUUGAUCUUGUCAUUCCAAGAGGGAGUAAUAAGCUUGUUGCUCAAAUCAAAUCAUCAACAAAGAUUCCUGUUCUUGGCCAUGCUGAUGGUGUUUGUCAUGUAUAUAUUGACAAAUCAGCAGACAUGGAUAUGGCAAAACGUAUUGUGAUGGAUGCAAAAAUUGAUUACCCAGCUGCCUGCAACGCAAUGGAGACGUUGCUUGUUCAUAAAGAUCUUAUGAAGACUCCAGAACUUAAUGACAUACUAGUAGCACUCAAGACAGCAGGAGUUAAUCUUUAUUGCGGGCCUGUUGCGCAUAAAGUAUUGGGCUACCCAAAAGCAGAUUCAUUACAUCUGGAGUACAGUUCUAUGGCUUGCACUGUUGAGAUAGUUGAUGAUGUACAAUCAGCAAUUGACCAUAUACAUCGCUAUGGAAGUGCACAUACAGACUGUGUGGUCACUACAGAUGAUAAAGUAGCAGAGACCUUUCUACGUCAAGUUGAUAGUGCUGCCGUAUUAUACAACGCGAGUACAAGAUUCUCCGAUGGUGCUCGUUUUGGACUCGGUGCUGAGGUUGGCAUAAGUACAGGCCGUAUACAUGCACGUGGACCUGUGGGUGUUGAAGGUCUUUUAACUACACGAUGGCUCUUACGAGGGAAAGGGCAAGUGGUGAAUGGUGACAAGGAUGUUGAGUACACCCAUAAGAGUCUUCCUUUGCAAUGA
rnacentral:rRNA from 1 species